rnacentral:ncRNA from 1 species
GACUUUGGCCCUUGCUCUGAAUGUCAACUUGAAGAAAUUCAAGCAAGCGCGGGUAAACGGCGGGAGUAGCUAUGACUCUCUUAAGGUAGACUUUGGCCCUUGCUCUGAAUGUCAACUUGAAAAAAU